GGGGUGAUAGCUCAGUUGGGAGAGCGCACGACUGAAGAUCCACUCAGUCAAUCAGAUUUAUCUGGUAAUCGUGAGGUCACCGGUUCAAUCCCGGUUCAUCCCA